rnacentral:rRNA from 1 species
GUAGUCCUAGCCCUAAACGAUGGAUACUGGCUGUGGGGGGUAGCCAAUCCCCCCGUGGCGAAGCUAACGCAUUAAGUAUCCCGCCUGGGGAGUACGGUCGCAAGUCUGAAACUCAAAGGAAUUGACGGGGGCCCGCACAAGCGGUGGAGCAUGUGGUUCAAUUCGACGCAACGCGAAGAACCUUACCUGGGCUUGAAGUGGGGCGGCAGCGGGCGGAGACGCCCGUGUCCCUUCGGGGACUGCCCCAGAGGUGCUGCAUGGCUGUCGUCAGCUCGUGUCGUGAGAUGUUGGGUUAAGUCCCGCAACGAGCGCAACCCUUGUCCUUAGUUGCUAACGGGAGAGCCGAGCACCCUAAGGAAACUGUCGGCGAUAAGCCGGA